rnacentral:rRNA from 1 species
AGUGAACGCUGGCGGUGUGCCUAACACAUGCAAGUCGAACGGCAGCACAGUAAGAUCUUGCUCUUACGGGUGGCGAGUGGCGGACGUGUGAGGAGUACAUCGGAAUCUACUUUUUCGUGGGGGCUAACGUAGGGAAACCUACUAUAAUACCGCAUACGACCUACGGGUGAAAGCAGGAGAUCUUCGGACCUUGCGCGUUUGAAUGAGGCGAUGGCGGAUUAGCUAGUGGGCGGGGUAAAGGCCCACCAAGGCGACGAGCCGUAGCUGGUCUGAGAGGAUGAGCAGCCGCACUGGAACGGAGAAAGGGUCCAGACUCCUACGGGAGGCAGCAGUGGGGAAUAUUGGACAAGGGGUGCAAGCCUGAGCAAGACAGGCCGCGUCGGUGAAGAAGGCCUUCGGGUUGUAAAGCCCUUUUGUUGGGAUAGAAAAGCAGCAGGUUAGUACCCAGCUGUUCUGACGGUAACCAAAGAAUGAGCAACGGCUAACUUCGUG